rnacentral:misc_RNA from 1 species
AAGUCGUAACAAGGUCUCCGUUGGUGAACCAGCGGAGGGAUCAUUACAGAGUUAUCUAACUCCAAAACCCAUGUGAACUUACUUUUGUUGCCUCGGCGAGGGAGCUUACCUGGUACUUACCCUGUAAGAACUUAGGAGGCGAGCUACCCUGUAGCACGCUAUUAGCUAACUCGCCGAAGGACUAUUCGAAUUCUUGUUUAUAUGGCACAUCUGAACGGUUUAUACUUAAUAAGUUAAAACUUUCAACAACGGAUCUCUUGGUUCUG